GUACUUCUUAUAUAUUUUGUUAACAUUUUAACAGAACGAGCAAGUAUUAUAUAUUGAAACUGCAAAAUUAAAUCUGCGCUAUGAAAGUUUUACUUAUCUGUUUGUUAGUGGUUUCGUUGGUGGGAUAUUCAUAUUCUGCUUCACUGUCUCAGCCAGACGAAGAUGGACUGGUUAACUGUCUGGGGUUAUGCACAUUGGAGUAUAUGCCAGUGAGAGGAUGCUGGCUGUACAACGGAGAACCUCGCACCAGACAGUUUUCGAACCACUGUCUUCUUAGGCAUGCACAAAGAUGCAACGAGGGUCGCCUUGAAAUCAACCUUUGCUAAACAGACGUGGCUUUCAAUCGUUUAAACCUUAUUAACAGUUUUAAUUCUCGUUGAAUAAUUUUGCUACGUUGUGUUCCAUUAUGUAACUUGUUCACUUAUACUAUAUAUGAGUAAGGUCAUUGUUCGAGAACCUAUACGAUUUCGGCCAGAUUUGGCCGUAUAAUUAGAAUUCACUCUGUAACAGAAUCAAUUGUUUUGUUUAUAUCUAGUACCCAAAUUAAAUUACACUAUUGAAAUU